GACGUAGGGCGCGAGCGUUGUCCGGAUUUAUUGGGCGUAAAGAGCUCGUAGGCGGCUUGUCGCGUCGUUCGUGAAAACCUCGGGCUUAACUCGGGGCUUGCUUUCGAUACGGGCAGACUGGAGGUAUGCAGGGGAGAACGGAAUUCCUGGUGUAGCGGUGAAAUGCGCAGAUAUCAGGAGGAACACCGGUGGCGAAGGCGGUUCUCUGGGCAUGACCUGACGCUGAGGAGCGAAAGUGUGGGGAGCGAACAGG
rnacentral:rRNA from 1 species